GACGAACGCUGGCGGCGUGCCUAAUACAUGCAAGUCGAACGCAGUGGGGACGGGUGAGUAACACGUGGGUAACCUCCCAUCAGAGGGGAUAACACUUGGAAACAGGUGCUAAACCGAUACUGAUGGAUGGACCCGCGGUGCAUUAGCUAGUUGGUGAGGUAACGGCUCACCAAGGCCACGAUGCAUAGCGGACCUGAGAGGGUGGUCGGCCACACUGGGACUGAGACACGGCCCAGAAUCCUAGGGGAGGAAGCAGUAGGGAAUCUUCGGCAAGGGAGGAAAGUCUGACCGAGCAACGCCGCGGGAGUGAGGAGGGUUUUCGGAUCGGAAAACUCUGUUGUGAGAGAAGCGGAAUCUAACCAGAAAGCCACGGCUAACUACGUGCCAGCAGCCGGGGUAAAC
rnacentral:rRNA from 1 species